GGAGGGGUGGCCGAGUGGCUGAAGGCGGCGGUUUGCUAAACCGUUGUACGGGCCUAAACCCGUACCGUGGGUUCGAAUCCCAUCCCCUCCGCCA
rnacentral:tRNA from 1 species